rnacentral:tRNA from 1 species
CAAAAAAUAGUUUAAUAUCAAAAUACUAGUUUUGGGGACUAGUGAUGGAGCGUGGGCUCUUUUUUUGA